rnacentral:lncRNA from 1 species
UUGGCCAAUGCAUGAGACAGAAAAAACCUAGCCCAAUCAAAGGCCAAUCGGCGCCUCCAUUCCACGUAUUUUACCUUUUUCCAAUUUUGAAACAAAAAACCAUGCUCAGUACUCUCACUUCCUUUUCCAUGGGGUCUCUCCCUCACAUAAGCUAAACAACAACCUUACGCACUACAUUGAUAGUCUCUUAUUUCUAAAACAAAAAAAAAAUCUAUUUCCUGCUAUAAGACCCCAAUUUUGACCCUAAGAUCCCU